rnacentral:rRNA from 1 species
CCUACGGGAGGCAGCAGUAGGGAAUUUUCGUCAAUGGGCGCAAGCCUGAACGAGCAAUGCCGCGUGAACGAGGAAGGUCUUCGGAUCGUAAAGUUCUGUUGAAGGUGAAAAAGAGCGGAGAGAGGAAAUGGUCUCCGAUUGAUAUUACCCUUCGAGGAAGUCACGGCUAACUACGUGCCAGCAGCCGCGGUAAUACGUAGGUGGCGAGCGUUUUCCGGAAUGAUUGGGCGUAAAGGGUGCGUAGGCGGCCUGCUAAGUCUGGAGUGAAAGGUACCGGCUCAACCGGUACAGGCUCUGGAAACUGGCGGGCUAGAGAGCAGGAGAGGGCGGUGGAACUCCAUGUGUAGCGGUAAAAUGCGUAGAUAUAUGGAAGAACACCAGUGGCGAAGGCGGCCGCCUGGCCUGUUACUGACGCUGAGGCACGAAAGCGUGGGGAGCAAAUAGGAUUAGAUACCCCAGUAGUC